rfam:Myotis lucifugus cont2.23389, whole genome shotgun sequence.
GGCUCGGUAGCUCAGUUGAUUAGAGCAUUGUCCUGAUACGCCAAGGUUGUGGGUUCAAUCCCCGGUCAGGACA